CCUACGGGAGGCAGCAGUGGGGAAUAUUGGUCAAUGGCGGCAACUCUGACCCAGCAACGCCGCGUGAAUGAUGAAUGUCUUCGGGUUGUAAAGUUCUUUUCUACGGGGAGAAGAAAGUGACUGUACCUUAGGAAUAAGCCUCGGCUAACUACGGGCCAGCAUCCGCAGUAAAACGUAGGAGGCAAGCGUUAGCCGGAAUGACUGGGAGUAAAGGGUGCGUAGGUGGGUCAGCAAGUUAGUAGCGUAACUGCGGGGCCCAACCCCGGCAGUACCACUAAAACUGUUGGACUUGAGUGCAGGGGGGGCAGCCGGAAUUCGUGGUGUAGCGGUGGAAUGCGUAGAUAUCAGGAGGAACACCAGUGGCGAAGGCGAGUUGCUGGACUGUAACUGACACUGAGGCACGAAAGCGUGGGGAGCAAACAGGAUUAGAUACCCUUGUAGUC
rnacentral:rRNA from 1 species